UUGUCUUUCUGCAGCUGGUGAUUCAUUUGUAGAUUAGUAAAGCACGUUUCUUGUUGGGUUGCCUGUCUUACCGGCUGCUCUGUUUAACUUCAAAUGUUCCCCGCGUGCCUGUUUCCGUUUCUCUACCUUUUCUAAAACGAGGUCGACCUAUGAUGCAUAUUUCAUGAUGAAAGGUGUGUUUCCCUUCCGUCUCCGUCUUUUGUUUCCAGCUGAGCGCUGCGGCUCCCGCUCCCCCCCUGUGACUCCGUGGAGACAUGAACACGUGAAUCCAUCACCACGACGGGUCCUCACCGUGAGUCCAGGUGCUCUGAAGCCCGAGGAGGAGGAGGAGGAGGACGGAGACAGACAGAGACGUCGAUCUCCAGGACAUGAUGAUGGAAGAUGUAGACAAAUGAAGAGGGAAGAAAAGGCUCAACGCAGUCGGAGGACAAAGUGCGGACGGGCUGAAGGAGAUGAAGGAGAACAAGAAGGGAGGGAAGGAGUGAAGGGAACAAGUGCAUAACGUCUAGACAGUUUGUGGCUCCGAGUUGCAUCAGAUUAGAAGGCGGUUAAUCCGUUUAAAACGUCACUAGUGGCGCCGCCCGGCGGCACAAAGAGUCGUUGGCACGUUGGAACCCGCAAAAAAAUACGGCUUCGAAUUGUUGCGUUUUGUUGAAUUUACUGCACAUUAAGAAACGUCUCCCUUACUGUAGUAUUGCAGUACUGUAGUAUUGCGGUACUGUAGUACUGUAGUGUGUUUCACCGUCUUUACUGAAGCUAAGUGAGUAUUUCCGUCGCUCAUCGGUCUCUUUCCCUCCAGCUGUGGCUGAACUUUCACAGCUGGAACCGGAGAUUUCAUCGCGCGCGCCGCCGUGUUUAUGCCCGCGGUUGCCAUGGCAGCGAGUGUCCGCUUACACGCGCGCGUGACCAGCUCCCCACGUGGUGUUUCCUCCCGCGCCACCAGGGGGCGAUGAAGCAUCCAGGCCGCCUGCUGAAGGUACUUAUUGAGGUACUUCCCAUGUACAAGUAAUGUACUUUUUACUGAGCGUAAAGGUAACUUUACUUUGAAGAUUCAAGUUAAUAGGAAAUAUAUAAUGAAAUGAUUAACUAUCGAUAGAUACACGAUAAGUUAAAAUGAGCUUGUUAACACUUUAAAGCAUCAACAAUUAUAAACCUCUUAGAGACUUGGAGGAUGAGGAGCGAAAUUUAUUAAAAUGGGUUGAAUUCAAAAACGAGAACAACAGAGAUUCAAGAUGUAAUUUCAGUGUUUUAUUUUAUUUACAAAUAUAAAAUUAUAUUUGUGUGUGUAGA
ensembl:lncRNA